GGGGAUUUAGCUAAGCGGCAUAAGCGCCUGCCUUGUAAGCAGAUGUCUUGAGUUCGAUCCCCG
rnacentral:tRNA from 1 species